GACGAACCGGACGAACGUUAUUCGGAAUUACUGGGCUUAAAGAGUGCGUAGGCGGCCUGGCAGGUUGGGUGUGAAAUCCCUCGGCUCAACCGAGGAAUUGCGCUCAAAGCCGCUAGGCUUGAGGGAGACAGGGGUGAGCGGAACUGAUGGUGGAGCGGUGAAAUGCGUUGAUAUCAUCAGGAACACCGGUGGCGAAGGCGGCUCACUGGGUCUCUUCUGACGCUGAGGCACGAAAGCUAGGGUAGCGAACGGG
rnacentral:misc_RNA from 1 species